CCCUUAGAUGUUCUGGGCUGCACGCGCGCUACACUGAUGCGAUCAACAAGUUUUUCCUAUGUCGAUAGACACGGGUAAUCUUUUGAACUCGCAUCGUGAUGGGGAUAGAUUAUUGUAAUUAUUAAUCUUCAACGAGGAAUUCCUAGUAGGUGCAAAUCAUCAGUUUGCAUCGAUUACGUCCCUGCCCUUUUUACACACCGCCCGUCGCUGCUACCGAUUGGUUGAUCUGGUGAAUUAUUCGGACUGCCGGCUGAAGGGGUUUCCUCAUCUGCCAGCGGAAAGUCUUGUUAACCCUAUCAACUAGAGGAAGCAGAAGUCGUAACA
rnacentral:rRNA from 1 species